UACGUAGGGUGCGAGCGUUGUCCGGAAUUACUGGGCGUAAAGAGCUCGUAGGUGGUUUGUCGCGUUGUCCGUGAAAACUCACAACUCAAUUGUGGGCGUGCGGGCGAUACGGGCAGACUGGAGUACUGCAGGGGAGACUGGAAUUCCUGGUGUAGCGGUGGAAUGCGCAGAUAUCAGGAGGAACACCGGUGGCGAAGGCGGGUCUCUGGGCAGUAACUGACGCUGAGGAGCGAAAGCUGGGGAGCGAACAGG
rnacentral:rRNA from 1 species